GUGCUAGCAGCCGCGGUAAUACGUAGGGUGCGAGCGUUGAACGGAAUUACUGGGCGUAAAGAGCUCGUAGGCGGUUUGUCACGUCGUCUGUGAAAUCCCUCGGCUUAACCGGGGGCGUGCAGGCGAUACGGGCAGACUUGAGUACUACAGGGGAGACUGGAAUUCCUGGUGUAGCGGUGAAAUGCGCAGAUAUCAGGAGGAACACCGGUGGCGAAGGCGGGUCUCUGGGUAGUAACUGACGCUGAGGAGCGAAAGCAUGGGUAGCGAACAGGAUUAGAUACCCUGGUAGUCC
rnacentral:rRNA from 1 species